AGUAUCAGCUGCUGCUGCACGCUACGAUCACUCAUUUGCUGUGAGAGCUGGAAGAAUCUGGAAUGUUCUCCCCAAAAUUGUCAAUACUCAAAGGACUUUGACAAGCUUCAAGACAUCUCUUGGAAACUUCCUAGACACCGUUCCAGACAAGCCCCCUACUCCUGGAUACAGUGCAGAAAACUCUAACUCGAUAAUAGACUGGUACAGUCAAGGAGGUGGUCCGCAAAUUGCGUGAAGAUGCCCUGCACUUCUAAACCUCUCAAUAGGCUUAACCAAUAGGGACAAACGAAAAUCAACAGUUCGUGUCAUGGCAGAGAAUAUUUCCUGAUUAAUUUUGCUUUCACAGUUGGAAUAUGAGCAGACUACAUGUGCCUGAUAAUCCUGAUUCCUACAUCCGUAACUUCAAGGAGGUUUCAAAUGGGAUCGGAGCAACGUGUACACUGUACGUCUGUGUGGCAAUGAAAAUGUGGCAAUUGUAUAAUUAAAAAUUACUAUUCGUAAAAACAAAAAGUUAUUUAUAGACAACAAGAUUUUGUUCAAAAUUUAAAACAAACUUUUGGGGAUUCAAUAGAAUAGAAAUUAAAUGGUUUUGUCAAUUUUUAGACCUUUUAUUUAUUUCACACAGUGUAUGAUAAUUUUAACAAUUUUUAAAUCUGCACUUUCUGGCUGUAUUAUUUCAUGGAUUUGAUCGUAAUAUAAUUAUAUUUUGUAUAAUAUAACUGUAAAUAAAGCAGGUAUUUGGAAGAGAUGAUAAUAUGCUUUUAAGUGUUUAUUAUAUUUUACUGCAUUAAGAUUGUUCCAUAUACAACUGCUUUUUACCGAGUGGAGUUAUACCCAGAUU